rnacentral:lncRNA from 1 species
CCACUGCCCAUCUGGGAGGGAGUUUUGGAGUCAGCCAGUCAUCUCCCCACAGAGUCCGCCUCUACCUAAAGCCUGUUUCAGUGUCGACCAGGGAGAUCUGCUUAGAAGUGCCCUCCAGCUAUAACUCAUAAGAACUGCACAUGCCCAUUACGUGCCAGUUUCGUGCCAGGGUGAAGAAUGAGAGCUUUCAUGGGACUGAUGCUUGGUAACUGGAGCCAGCAUGGCCCCAGAGAUUGGGUGUCUGCCUUGGGUUUCAGCUGUUCCUUAUGUGGCGUCUCAUUGCUAAUGAAAAGGCUCAGGUCAUGAUGCUGGUCCUUUGGGCGAUGGCUGAUCACGGUGAUAACAUUUGGCAUCCAGAGACAGCCCUGUUUCCACUUAAGCAUGUGGCACUCAAGUUGGUGGACUGGCAAGCUGGAACCUGGUCUUAACCCCUGAGGUGCUGGCUAGAGGGAGGCAGCUGCUGAUACCCACAGGGACAGCUUAGGUUUGUCGUACUCCGAAGACCCUGUGGGUUCCAGGGUUGGUAGACUUUGCUUUUUGCUUGGUCUAGAGCUCUGCUCUGCUCUCUUUCUCCCCAACAGGAAUCACUCUCUACUUCCUAGGGUUCUUUCCAUGGCCCAAGCUGUCGCUCUCGGUUCAUGUUCUGGUUUGCCUUCGGUUACUGUGAUAAAACACUCUCACCAAAAGCAGUCUGGGGGAGGAAAGGGUUUGCUUGGCUUACACUCCCUGGUCACAAUCAAUCACUGAGGGAAUUCAGGGCAAGAACUCAAGCAGGGACUGAAACAGAAAUCAUGGAAGAAUCUUGCUUACUGGCUGGUAAGAUUCAUGCCCAGUUAGCUUUCUCAUACACUCCAGGCUCACUUGCCUAGGGAUGGUAUUGCCCACAGUGGGCUGGGCCCUCCUAUAUAUUGGUGAUGUAUCUAUCACCAAUCAAGACAGUCUUUUAUAGAUAUGCUCACAAGUAUGUCUAUAAACAAGGCAAAUCUUCAACUGAGGUUCCUUCUACCCAGGUGACUCUAGGUUGUGUCAAACUGAGAAACAAACAAACAAACAAAACUGACCACCCAGGACAGUCUCCACUUUUCUUCUCUAGGGGAGAUUGAUUAGGUCUUCAGCUAGCAUUUCAUAAAGCAAUGUGCCAGAUUUUGUUAGGGUUUUUAUACAUUUUCUCCUGCUCGUCACAAGAAUCUUCUGACAUUGGGGUUGCCCUCCGCCACUGAACAGGUGCGGAACUGGAAACCUAAAGAGAUUAGCCAGCACGCCCAUGACCAUGCAAGUGACUAGUGCUAAAGGCAGAAUUGGGAAGAGAAUUCUGACCACCUACUUUUUUGUUGUUGUUGUUGCUUUAUUUUUGUUUUGGAAUUUUUUUUUGUUUUUGUUGUUGGUUUUGUUUUGUUUUGUUUUGUUUUUGUUUUUCAAGACAGGGUUUCUCUGUAUAGCCCUGGCUGGCCUGGAACUCACUUUGUAGCCAGGGAUCCGCCUGCCUCUGCCUCCCAAGUGCUAGGAUUAAAGGUGUGUGCCACCACCACCCGGCCCAUGGUGUUCUUAAUGUAGUCCCUGUGUGCAUUCUGAGGGCUGUCCUUGUCACCUUCAGCAGUGGGCAGGAAGAGUCCCAGACAAGUCCUGUUGCUUUCUUUCCAUAGCCUUCACCUUCACUGCGAAAGAAGAGAGCUGGCAAGCCUUUAGGAUAUUUUUGGAACCAAGUAAGCACCAGGUUUUGUCUCUGGCCCUGUCCUUAUGCCACCCCAGAUGUCAAUGCCCAGAGAAGAGUCUUGACCAUCUCCAGUCACUGAGGCAGGUACUAGAGCUGGACUCAGUCCUGGCAGUCUCUGGACAGUGCUUGGGAGACUGAUGCUUCAGGGGGUACAGGCCACACAGCCAGAAGCCAGCAGGAAGAGAAGAGGCCCAAGGUUCCCUGGCGCACAGCUACGUGGAGAAGGCAGCACCAUUCACAGGCACCCAGUACCCGGUGUUGGCACUUACCUAAGGUGUCAGUGGCUGUGAGGGGUUCAGAUGGCAGAGAGCAUGUCUCUGUGUUCUUAAGUCACAGGUGCAUACCUGACCUUUGCUAUGCUCUCUGGGGACAGCGCUUUAUUCCGAGUACUGUGCUUACACAAAGGCAAGACUUGC